rnacentral:sRNA from 1 species
AAUGUAAGUAAAUGGAAUGGUGCAGUAUUCUAGUCAGUCCCCCCCCGUUUCUGAAGGCGGGGCUAAAAAUCCGCCAAAGGGCAUAUCGAUGAAGUUCCUUGUGUUGGCUUGAGGCGCCCAGCCUUGGGUUGAUGCUGGGAGUUAAGGUUUGAGGGCGAUCCGCAAAGGCAUGUGGGCGUAGACCCUCUUUCCGCGGAGGCCCAUCUCUGUGUUCAAUACUUAGCCAAGGAUUGAGCAUGGACUGGGGUAUGAACCUGCGUAAUAAGGAGGGGGGGAUCCUUAUUCGUAGCGUAGCCUGCCUUGAGUGGUACGAAGGGAUUAUAGGUAAGAGAGUGUUCGAACUUGAUGGCCACUUGAUCGAAUAUUUUUUUCUAUAUGAAAUUCGUACUGCAAAAGAGGCUAAGAAACGGUUUAAGAUUGUUGAGGAAAUCUCCUAGACUGUUCCUAUGUGACAUUUGAAAGGGAUUAUAGUACGGACUAAGUGGUAAUCCAGUCUAGUGUCAGGUGACUGCACUAAGUCAGAUUUAAAGGGUAACCGCCAAUCUGGCAACAGUUGGUAUCUGAUUGGGAAAACCUACUGGACCUAAGCCGUAGUUUUAACCUUUUAAGUGACCAUUCCAGCUACUAUACAU